rnacentral:rRNA from 1 species
AACGAACGCUGGCGGCAUGCCUAACACAUGCAAGUCGAACGGGAUCCUGGCUUCGGUCAGGUGAGAGUGGCGGACGGGUGAGUAACGCGUGGGAACCUGCCCAGUGGUGGGGAUAACUGCGGGAAACUGCAGCUAAUACCGCAUGAGCCCGAGAGGGGAAAGAUUUAUCGCCAUUGGAGGGGCCCGCGUUCGAUUAGGUAGUUGGUGAGGUAACGGCUCACCAAGCCGACGAUCGAUAGCUGGUCUGAGAGGAUGAUCAGCCACACUGGGACUGAGAUACGGCCCAGACUCCUACGGGAGGCAGCAGUGGGGAAUAUUGGACAAUGGGGGCAACCCUGAUCCAGCAAUGCCGCGUGAGUGAUGAAGGCCUUCGGGUUGUAAAGCUCUUUUGGUCGGGGACGGAUGAUGACGGUACCCGCAGAAUAAGACCCGGCUAACUUCGUGCCAGCAGCCGCGGUAAU